GAUGAACGCUGGCGGUAUGCUUUACACAUGCAAGUCAUACGGAAGUUAGUUUCGGCUAACUUCAGUGGCGGACGGGUGAGUAACACGUGAGAAUUCGCCUUUAGGAGGGGGAUAACAGGGGGAAACACCUGCUAAAACCCCAUAUGCCUUCGGGUCAAAAGAGUAAUCUGCCUAAAGAGAAGCUCGCGGCUGAUUAGCUAGUUGGUGGGGUAAAGGCCUACCAAGGCGACGAUCUAUAGCUGGUCUGAGAGGACGAUCAGCCACACUGGGACUGAGACACGGCCCAGACACCUACGGGU
rnacentral:rRNA from 1 species